UUUCAGCGCUGGAAACGUCAAAUUUUCUUCGGAUUUCUUACGUUUGUGCAUUAUCACUACAUGGGCUGCACCUAAGCAGUAUAUUACUACAAUUGUUUACACGACUCAGCUUUAAUUCAUGAUGAAGCCAUAGACUACGGUGCGGAGGAACAUGGUGAAGGUUUGGCAGGUAAGAGCUUGAAGAGGUUAAGGCAAUCAAGGCCGUUGAGUGUCUGAGGGCUUCUUUCCUGUGCCUGGGGCAUCUUUGACUUGCUGUGGUGACUCAGCAUGCAUGCGGGGCAGUCCCUGCUGCCAGGACGCCCCUAACCCAAGUGAAGCCUCUACACCCGUUAUGAGAGGAGGAGCUGAGGUGCCCCGCUGUGCGGCAGCGUGAGCCGGGGGAUUCAGUAUGGCAUCGCUAGACUUGCCGUACCGCUGUCCACGCUGUGGGGAGCACAAGCGCUUUCGCAGCCUGUCCUCUCUCAGGGCUCACCUGGAGUACAGCCAUACCUAUGAGACCCUCUACGUCCUGUCCAAGUCCAGCAGCGUGUGUGAGGGCGCCCUCGUCCCCCUGGUGGGCCCAGCAGGGGGGCAGGAGGUUUUUGAGCGUGCCUCCUUUGGCAACAAGGAACACCACUUUCCCUACGAACUGGCGUGCGCUGAUGAUCUGGGCCUGACGACUACGGCCGCGUGCUACAUCCCAGAGGUGGAAAUUCCGCUGGGGGAGAUCUUCAUCAAACGAGACAUGACCUCUGGCAGCCCUGCCACUCCCAGCAACGCUCUGGCGGUGGCCGCCAGUGCCAUGGAGGCGGCCUAUGAGGAGGGCCUGGCCCGGCUGAGGAUGAGGGCCUUCGAGAGACUGGAGCUGGACGAACGGUUGGAGAAACUGUCAGAGGAGGUGGAAGAGAAGAUAACGGCACGUGUGGGCCGCCUGCAGGCAGAGCUGGAGAAGAAAAGCAUGGAGCUGGAGAAGGCCAAGCAGGAGAGCGUAAGGCUCGGCCAGGAGAAGCAGGACCUGGAAGGCAAGGCCUCGGAGCUUUCACACCAGGUGGACGUCUCUGUGGAGAUGCUAGCCAGCCUCAAGCAGGACCUGGUCAACAAGGAGCAGGAACUGACCCGUAAGCAGCAGGAGGUUGCUCAGAUUGACCAGUUCCUCCAGGACACUGCUGCGCGGGAAGCGAAUGCCAAGCUGCGUCUGCAACGGUUCAUCGAGGAGCUGCUGGAUCGUGCCGAUCGAGCGGAGAAACAACUGCAGAUCGUCAGCAGCUGUGGCACGACGCCCAAUGGCAGCCUCAGUCAAUGCAGCCUGUCGGGACGGAAGGGCAGCCGACGCCAGAGGAAUUCCAGUGCUUCUGCAGAUUCCGGGGCUUUGUAUCCAGUGUCAGCGCGCCGCUCUCCCAGCACAGGGGACUCCAGGCAAGUGAAAGGCCGAGGCUCAGGAACCUACGACAGCGAGAGCCUGGACAUGCUGUCUGUGGAAGGGCACUACUCCCAUGUGCCGUGCAGGCUGGGCGAGGGCAGCUGUGAGCGUGGCGGAGACCCACGUGGGUGGGGGCUCCGCAAGCAGGCCCUCCAGAACUGGCAGCACCGGCCCUACCGCAACAGCACCGAGGGCGAAGAGGGAGACGUGUCUGACGUGGGCUCUCGGACCACGGAGUCUGAGGUGGAGGUCUGGGAGCUGGAGAACCGGGCCUCCGAACCUCUGCAGUCUCGAGGCAACAAACCUCGCUAUCGCUUGGGAACAGAUGGUUCAGAGCGCCCCUCCCAGACCUGCUUGCAAGAGAAGGACAGCCCCAGCAGGUCUGUGGAGAUGAUUAGUCCAGAGACCCUGAAGAUGCGAGCGGCCCUCUUCUGCAUCUUCACCUACCUGGACACCAGGACAUUGCUGCGGGCGGCCCAGGUGUGCCACAACUGGCGAUUUGUGGCUCGGCACCCCGCCGUCUGGACCCGCGUGCUGCUAGAAAACGGCCGCAUCUCCUCCAAGUUCAUGAUCACGCUGUCUCAGUGGUGCUCACAGAGCCACUCCAUAAUCCUGCAGAACCUGAAGCCCAGGCAGCGUGGCAAAAAGGAGACCAAGGAGGACUACCUUAGGAGCACCAGGGGGGUCCUGGAGGAGGGUCUCGAAGCUCUCCUGAAGGCCGCAGGUGGGAACCUGCUCAUUCUUAAGGUAUCACAGUGCCCCAACAUUGUGACCGAUCGCUCCCUGUGGCUGGCCAGCUGCUACUGCCGUGGUCUGCAGGCUGUCACGUACAGGAGCGCUACAGACCCUGUUGGUCAGGAGGUCAUCUGGGCCCUGGGUGCUGGCUGUCGGGACAUCAUCUCCCUACAGGUGGCGCCACUUUACCCAUGCCAGCAGCCAGCCCGCUUUAGCAAUCGAUGCCUGCAGACCAUUGGCCGAUGCUGGCCACACCUGAGAGCUCUGGGCGUGGGUGGGGCUGGCUGUGGCAUUCAAGGCCUUGCAUCUUUAGCACGCAACUGUGUGCACCUCCAAGUCCUGGAGCUGGACCAUGUGAGUGAGAUCAACCAGGAGGUGGCAGCCGAGGUGUGCAGAGAGGGGCUGAAGGGCCUGGAGAUGCUGGUGUUGACCUCUACCCCAGUCACACCCAAGGCCUUGCUGCACUUCAACAGUGUGUGCCGUAACCUGAAGUCCAUCGUGGUGCAGAUUGGAAUUGCAGACUAUUUUGAAGAUCCCAACAGCCCUGAAGCCAGGAAGCUGUUCGAUGAGAUGGUGAACAAGCUUCAGGCCUUGAGGAAAAGACCAGGUUUCUCGCAGAUCCUGCAUGUGAAGGCGGACGGCACGUGUUAAUGCCCUCUCCGGGCCGUGUGAAGCUGGCUUUCUUUCGCAGACUGAUUCAUCUCCACUCCGACUGACUGACAAAGCAAACCGACAACGACAAGUGAGCUCAGGAGGCUGACCACAGGACUCAGCCGGCCCCCGUGGACAUGUGGCAUAAUUGGGGCUUCCUUUGGCCCUCAGAGCUGGUCCUCAGCAGGCCUUUGGUGAUCAUAUAGGUCAGCCUCAGCAGGCCUUCGAUGAUCUUGUAGGUCAGCCUCAACAGAGAUUAGCAGCACAGUGCUGUGGAGCUGCCCAUCUCUCAUGGUCGAGGAGCAAGACAGGGCUGACCUUCCUCUCUGAGAAGCUUGGAGGUGCAUCUGAGUCAUGUCCGUGGUCCUGCAGCACAGGCAGACACUUGGUCUGCACCGGGACCUGCAAUGCACCCUUAUUGCUCUACAUCCCUGUCAGUAUCCUUGUUUGCUCUGGUGUAGUUCUGGACGGCAAAAGGUGGAGCCCUUGGUCCAUUCCUUAGUAACUACUUCAUGUAUUAACACUCCAGAAGUGAGGCAGAGGGAACAGAACAAGUUUGCCAGAUGAUAAGGGUUUUAUUUCAGGUACUGGGAGAUUCUCGGCCUGUUCAGUAGUAGGUGAGGGAAAUGUUAGACCUCAGUGCCAUAGAUCACCAGAAUCUUCUGUGCCCUGGAGUCUCUUGGAGGUCCUGUGUUGCUGGAGGGCUGUGUUAGGUUUCAUGAACCCUUGUCUGCCUGCUCUAAUAUUCUUCAUUGGUGAAUUGACAGAAUAUGCAGUGAAUAUUAUGUUCUCUAUGUUUCUUUAUUGUAAAGACAAAAAAAAUUGUACAGCGUGACUUGCAUUCAGGGCCAAAGGUGGUGAAUCAUCCUCCCCUUGGUUGGGGUUGGGGUUAGGAUUAGGGUUGGUCUGGGUUAGGGUUGAGGUUGUGGUUGGGGUUAGGGUUGGUCUGGGUUAGGGUUAGGGUUAGGGUUGGUAUAGUUAUCUGCUCUGAUCUGUCCCACUGCUUCCCUGGUCAUCAGACUUUACUUUCUCUUGUCUCAUACUUGAUAUUUGUGAGUUUUCUGGUUCUCAUGGUUCUGCUCACCAAAGGCUUUUUGGAGGAGUUAUUUUUGCUGCCUUAUGUUUGGUCUUGUGCCACUUUAACAUGCGCUUUUCGCUUACUCUUACUUUUCCGCACCUGGCAGUUAUUACAGUGCUUCGAAUUGGCUGGCUGCUUAUGUAGCCUGAGGUUUCUGUGGUGUCGUACCCAGUAGAGUCUGCAGUACCUUUUGCUUUUAAUCAGUUAAAUUUUUCAAAAAGAGUUACUUUGUUAACAUAGAGCUUUACUGUAUAACUUUGUGUAAUUCAGAUGCUGAGCGUGAUAAAUAUAAGAUGCAUGUGAUGCACUAUUGUCAGAGUGCUGGCUCCCAAUGUGCCAUUUCCCUGCAGCUGUCUGAGCAGGUGAGCGGCUGCGUGUCCCAGCUGUCCAAGCGCUGUGGCCCGGCCCACUCGCUCGUGGCCUAUUGCUCCUUGUGACUGGAGUUGCGGGCUGACUGUACCUGCUUAGUGUCACCGUGACACUGUGGCUCCACUCGGCAGCCCACAGCUUCUCUACUCUCACCAUCUUGUUCUGGACAUACACAGGAUUCACUGCCAAUGAGCCCACAGGCCUCAGGUCAGUGCUGCUGAGCAGGAGAGGCCUUCAGGGGGCAGCCGGUCCAUGUGCCGUCUGUACUUCUCCAUACUGUACCUGUCAGGUAGUGAAACACUGGUGCUCGAUCCGUUAUGCACGAUUAUUAGCGUGCGGGAAAUUGAGCCCCAAGUCCAUAAUAUGAAACACCAGCCAACAAGGGCUUUAGCUGCCAGGAGCUGUUGUACAGUACAGUGUGUUGUGUUCUUGUAGCCUUUUUGACUACAGCAUUUUCAUGUGGGUCUCAAUCUCUCAGUACAACAAAGCAGCAUAUCAGCUAUCAAAAGCAUUGACGCACCAUUCGCUUUGUCCUGACCAUGGCUGUCCUCCAGUUGUGCUGUUAUUUUACUGAUUACAUUCAGGUGAAAGUAGUUUCAUACUCGUUUGGCCUAAGCUUGAAUAAAUCAAUAGAAUUAGUUUUUAAACUCUAACCCAACUGCUAGGCGACUGACCUUUACCCUAGGUGGCGAGUUAGCGUAGGUGCUUGCUUCAGAUUGGUUCAAGUACACCUAUAGGAGCUCUUCUGACCUGUAGUUAUCAAGAAAACACACAAAUGAUUGUUCCUAUCUCUCAGAGGUCCCGCUCCCUCUCUCGUUUCAUUAGAUCUUCUGCAUUUGCUUAGGACUUUUGCAGUUUUAUGUUAUGAAGGUUAAAGUUUUGAUGUGGAAUGAGGUUCUUGAGUUGCCAGUAUGGAAAUGUUGAAGGUGAGGUUUCGCCUGCCUGGGAGAGUGUCGUACACAUGCAUGGUCGUCCCACCAGAACUGAGGACAUACUGGUGAAUUUUAAAGUAACAUUGUGAAGCAGCUGUUUCAGAAAAGGGGAUUUGUGUGUAAAAAAAAAAAAAGUUGUGUUUGUGACAAUCUGUCUUCGUUAAGACUUUAAAUGGGUCCUAAAUGGGUAUCAUGGGAGGCUCUGUGUAUCUGCACAACAACAGCAUAGCUAACUGAACUGUACAUCCUUUAAAUGUGUCCAGUUUGCUUUCAUGCACAAAAGAUAUUAAUAUUAAAUGUCUUCAAAAGAUAGAGAUUAUUUACCUGGAGGGUUUGAUUAUUAGAACUAUUUAUUUUCAGACAGAGGCGUCUAUAUUGUCGGCAUGACCCCGUGUUAAGAAGCUCCUCAUCUUGCUGCCUUGCCUGUAUCCUGUUGUUUCUGUAGCUGGUAGCUGAUUGGUACCUGGUUGUGUAAAGCUUGCUUGCACAGGAGAUUAUGUAUUUGAUUAUAUUUUACUUAGUAGAGGCUCCAAGACAAAAAGAAAACUGUUUUGUGCAAUAUUAAAAUGCUCUCUGGCUCUUUCCAGUCUUCUGUUUCUAGUGUCAUUAGUCUCAUGUGAAGCACUUUAGAAACAUUUAUGGGUCUGCAGUUAGGACAUUUGUAAACUCCUCUGUUUUCUCUGCUGUGGGGGCACACAAUGGACAGUGUAAGUGAGGAGGAACCUCAUGGUGAACGUGUUUUUAACCUGUGCUGUACAAACAAAGGUCCGUCCCACUGCUACAGCCUGUGCGGACCUCACAGCUGGGGGAUCCACACAUGCAAACAUGCUACCUUGAUGGGUUAGUUGCAGUGUUGUAGUUGACACCUGUUACCUGGAAGUGAGGAUUCACUGCAGGAACUGCAGUCUGUGAAUACUGAUAAAAUGCAAGCUGUUACCUCUGUCCUUCGCUCACCUGUAUGGUCGUUCUGUUCUGACGACUCUGGAUGCUUCGUGGAAGCACUGCUUCACUGGUGUCUCUGACAGGGGAACCUGUCCAUGUUCACUGUCUCUCAUCCUCUUUUAAUGUUACAUUGAGACCAACUGUGUGCCAUUGUAAUGUAUACAUUGUAAAUUUUAAUGAAUGAUGUAGUUUUCCAUG